UACGUAAGGGCGCAAGCGUUGUCCGGAAUUAUUGGGCGUAAAGAGCUCGUAGGCGGUUUGUCGCGUCUGCUGUGAAAGCCCGGGGCUCAACCCCGGGUCUGCAGGUGGGUACGGGCAGACUAGAGUGCGUAGGGGAGACUGGAAUUCUGGUGUAGCGGUGAAAUGCGCAGAUAUCAAGGAGGACACCGAUGGCGAAGGCAGGUCUCUGGGCUGUUACUGACGCUGAGGAGCGAAAGCAUGGGGAGCGAACAGGA
rnacentral:rRNA from 1 species